AGUCUCCUCUCUGACCAUCUGGAGGGCCACCCAUUCCUGAGGAACUGUUCCCCGAACAAGCAAGUAUGCAAGGGCAGAGGAUGAAUCAGACCCAGCAGGUCCCACUGAGGGCCCCCGUUGAAGAUCAGAGGGGUCUGGCAGGGCCUGUGGGACAUCCCGCCAUGCCUCGCUUCCUCCCCACACUGCUGCAGACAGGCUCUGCCCAGGACCUUUGUGAUGGGCAGGUCAACCUGACCAGAGGUGUGGAAACUUCUGGAUGCCUGCUCUUGUGAGUUCACCUCUAUGUCUACUCUACUGAGGCCUCUCCAUACAGGUAGAGUGACUUGUGGGAGGCCUGUUACAUCCUCAGGCCACACCUGGUAAGGGAAGCGCAGGUGGGUCCCACCUGCCCUGGUGCCCCCCUCAGGAUACCUGGGGGUAUAUACUUUUUCUCAUGCCACCCCCAGGCUCUGCCCAGAUGGGGCUGACGACUGGUUUUUGGGCUGGCAUCCGUGUUUCCGGGCGCUGCUUGCCCGUUCUCUCCCACCUGCCGGUUGAACCUUAAUCUCCUUUUG
ensembl:lncRNA novel transcript